GAGAUAGCUUAGUCGGAAAAGCAUGAGACUCUUCAUCUUGGGGUUGUGAGUUUGAGCCCCAUGUUGGGCA